rnacentral:rRNA from 1 species
AUACGAAGGCUCCAAGCGUUAUCCGGAUUUAUUGGGCGUAAAGCGUACGCAGGCGGCUUAGUGCGUCUCAUGUUAAAUCUUAAUGCUCAACAUUAAGGCUGCAUGGGAUACGGCUAAGCUAGAGGAUGUAAGAGGUUACUGGAACUCACGGUGUAGGGGUGAAAUCCGUUGAUAUCGUGGGGAACACCAAAGGCGAAGGCAGGUAACUGGUACACUCCUGACGCUCAUGUACGAAAGCUAGGGUCGCGAAUGGGAUUAGAUACCCCGGUAGUCC